AACGAACGCUGGCGGCAUGCCUAACACAUGCAAGUCGAACGAGACCUUCGGGUCUAGUGGCGCACGGGUGCGUAACGCGUGGGAACCUGCCCUUAGGUUCGGAAUAACUCCCCGAAAGGGGUGCUAAUACCGGAUAAUGUCUUCGGACCAAAGAUUUAUCGCCUUUGGAUGGGCCCGCGUUGGAUUAGCUAGUUGGUAGGGUAAAAGCCUACCAAGGCGACGAUCCAUAGCUGGUCUGAGAGGAUGGUCAGCCACACUGGGACUGAGACACGGCCCAGACUCCUACGGGAGGCAGCAGUGGGGAAUAUUGGACAAUGGGCGAAAGCCUGAUCCAGCAAUGCCGGGUGAGUGAUGAAGGCAUUAGGGUUGUAAAGCUCUUUUACCCGGGAUGAUAAUGACAGUACCGGGAGAAUAAGCUCCGGCUAACUCCGUG
rnacentral:rRNA from 1 species